rnacentral:tRNA from 1 species
UCCCUGGUGGUUAAGUGGUUAGGACUUGGUGCUUUCACCACAGCAGUCCUGGUUCAAGCCCUGGUCUGGGAA